AUCAACGCUGGCGGCGUGCCUAACACAUGCAAGUCGAACGCGAAAGUGGAGCAAUCCAUGAGUAGAGUGGCGAACGGGUGAGUAACACGUGGGUGACCUACCCUCGAGUGGGGGGAUAACAUCCCGAAAGGGGUGCUAUACCGCAUGACAUCCUGUCUUUGAACAGAUGGACAUUAAAGCCGGGGAUCGCAAGACCUGGCGCUCGAGGAGGGGCUCGCGCCCGAUUAGCUAGUUGGUGAGGUAACGGCUCACCAAGGCGACGAUCGGUAUCCGGCCUGAGAGGGCGGACGGGACACACUGGGGACUGAGACACGGCCCAGACUCCUACGGGAGGCAGCAGUGGGGAAUUGUUCGCAAUGGGCGAAAGCCUGACGACGCAACGCCGCGUGGAGGAUGAAGAUCUUCGGGUCGUAAACUCCUUUCGAUCGGGACGAAUGAUCGGUGGACUAACACUCCAUCGGAAUGACGGUACCGAGAGAAGAAGCCCCGGCUAACUCCGUGCCAGCAGCCGCGGUAAUACGGGGGGGCAAGCGUUUGUUAGGAAUUACUGGGCGUAAAGGGCGCGUAGGCGGCCUUCUAAGUCGGACGUGAAAUCCCCCGGCUCAACCGGGGAACUGCGUCCGAUACUGGAGGGCUUGAAUCCGGGAGAGGGAUGUGGAAUUCCAGGUUGUAGCGGUGAAAUGCAUAGAUACUGGAGGAAACACCGGUGGCGAAGGCGGCCUGCUGGGCAGUUACUGACACUGAUUGCGCGACAGCGUGGGGAGCAAACAGGAUUAGAUACCCUGGUAGUCCACGCCGUAAACGAUGGGUACUAGGGUGCCUGGGGGAGCGACCCCUUGGGUGCCGGCGCUAACGCAGGAAGUACCCGCCUGGGGAGUACGGCCGCAAGGCUGAACUCAAAGGAAUUGACGGGGGCCCGCACAAGCGGUGGAGCAUGUGGUUUAAUUCGACGCAACGCGAAGAACCUUACCUAGGCUUGACAUGCAUGGGAAACUCCUGAGAAACCAGGAGCCUCCUUCGGGAUCCAUGCACAGGUGCUGCAUGGCUGUCGUCAGCUCGUGUCGUGAGAUGUUGGGUUAAGUCCCGCAACGAGCGCAACCCCUGUUCUAGUGCCAGCGCGUAAUGGCGGGGACUCUAGGAAGACUGCCGGUGCCAAACCGGAGGAAGGUGGGGGACGACGUCAAGUCAUCAUGGUCCUUACGUCUAGGGCUACACACGUGCUACAAUGGGUCGGACAGUGGGGGCCGAGGCAGCAAUGCCCAGGCAAUCCCAAAACCGAUCCUCAGUUCGGAUUGUCGUCUGCAACUCGACGGCAUGAAGCUGGAAUCGCUAGUAAUCGUGGAUCAGCAUCGCCACGGGUGAAUACGUUCCCGGGCCUUGUACACACCGCCCGUCACGCCAUGGAAGCUGCGAGCGCCCGAAGGGUCGGUGUCGGAACCCUCUGGGACCAAGCCGCCGAAGGCGAGCGUAGUGACUGGGGCG
rnacentral:rRNA from 1 species